rnacentral:sRNA from 1 species
GCGGCCGGGAUCGCGGAACGUGAUGGCUGUCGUCCCGGCGUCUCUCUCAGGACAGGACGUGGGGUUAGUCUACCUUUUCUCCUUCCCACUUUUGCAGAAAGCCGGGCCUCGCCGGGAGCCUGUGGGGACUAUGCGGAGGGCUCCCGCUCCCCGGUGGGCUGCGUUCGAGUCCCGCCGCCGGGCGCGGCUUCCCGGGACGCCUUUGCGGGUUUCGCGGACUGGCUCGGAGGCGAGGGGAGGCGGCCCCGGGGAGGAAGCCUGCCAGCGGCGGCUGCUCAUCAUUUGCAUAUCUUACAAUUAAAGACAGAAUACCACAGAUCUUAACUAAGGUUAUUGAUACAUUGCAUCGACAUAAAAGUGAAUUUUUUGAGAAACAUGGGGAGGAAGGCGUGGAAGCUGAAAAGAAAGCUAUCUCUCUCCUUUCUAAAUUACGGAAUGAAUUGCAAACAGAUAAACCAUUUAUCCCCUUGGUCGAGAAAUUUGUUGAUACGGAUAUAUGGAAUCAGUACCUAGAAUAUCAACAGAGUCUUUUAAAUGAAAGUGAUGGAAAAUCAAGAUGGUUCUACUCACCGUGGUUGUUGGUAGAAUGUUACAUGUAUCGAAGAAUUCAUGAAGCAAUUAUCCAGAGUCCACCAAUCGAUUACUUUGAUGUAUUUAAAGAAUCAAAAGAGCAAAAUUUCUAUGAGUCACAGGAAUCUAUCAUUGCUUUAUGUACUCACCUGCAACAAUUGAUAAGAACUAU